UACGGAGGAUGCGAGCGUUAUCCGGAUUUAUUGGGUUUAAAGGGUGCGUAGGCGGGAUGCCAAGUCAGCGGUAAAAAUGCGGUGCUCAACGCCGUCGAGGCGUUGAAACUGGCGUUCUUGAGUGGGCGAGAAGUAUGCGGAAUGCGUGGUGUAGCGGUGAAAUGCAUAGAUAUCACGCAGAACUCCGAUUGCGAAGGCAGCAUACCGGCGCCCUACUGACGCUGAGGCACGAAAGCGUGGGUAUCGAACAGG
rnacentral:rRNA from 1 species